rnacentral:rRNA from 1 species
UACGUAGGGUCCAAGCGUUGUCCGGAUUUAUUGGGCGUAAAGAGCUCGUAGGCGGCUCGGUAAGUCGGAUGUGAAACCUCCAGGCUCAACCUGGAGUCGCCAUCCGAUAUUGCUGUGGCUUGAGUCCGGUAGGGGAGCAUGGAAUUCCUGGUGUAGCGGUGAAAUGCGUAGAUAUCUGGAGGAAUACCGGUGGCGAAGGCGGCAUCCUGGACCGACAUUGACGCUGAUGAGCGAAAGCUAGGGGAGCAAACGGG